UACGGAGGGUGCAAGCGGUAUCCGGAAUCACUGGGUUUAAAGGGUGCGUAGGCUGCUGCAUAAGUCAGGGGUGAAAGUUUGUCGCUUAACGAUAGAAUUGCCUUUGAUACUGUGCGGCUUGAAAUUAGGUGAGGUUGGCGGAAUGUGACAUGUAGCGGUGAAAUGCGUAGAUAUGUCAGAGAACACCGAUUGCGAAGGCAGCUGGCUAACCUAAAGUUGACGCUGAGGCACGAAAGAGUGGGUAGCAAACAGG
rnacentral:rRNA from 1 species